UACGUAGGGUGCGAGCGUUGUCCGGAAUUAUUGGGCGUAAAGAGCUUGUAGGCGGUUUGUCGCGUCUGCCGUGAAAAUCCGGGGCUCAACCCCGGACUUGCGGUGGGUACGGGCAGACUAGAGUGUGGUAGGGGAGACUGGAAUUCCUGGUGUAGCGGUGAAAUGCGCAGAUAUCAGGAGGAACACCGAUGGCGAAGGCAGGUCUCUGGGCCACUACUGACGCUGAGGCACGAAAGCGUGGGGAGCAAACAGG
rnacentral:rRNA from 1 species